rnacentral:lncRNA from 1 species
UAAUUAAUGAUGACUAAUCUCUUAUAUGUAAAAUUAGGUUCUCUCUCUCUCUCUUUCCCUCUCUCUCUCUCUCUCUCUCUCUCUCUCUCACACACACACACACACACACACACACACACUCACACACAAAAAACUUUCCUUAAUUCCUCUGUGACUUCCCAAGUUAGAACUUCACACUGAAGACUAACUCUCCAGUUUUUCAUCCAAGUGAAAUUACCAAAAAGGAUACUUUCCAGGAAAAGAGUGGAAGGCUGACAAGCUAAACAGACUCUCCACCUUGUUCUCAUUGGUCUCAGAGAUUUUUAAGGAAAUAUUAACCUCUAAAUUCAAGAAAUAACAACUUAAGUCUAUAAAAAUGAAUUAAUUAACCCACAAUGUGUAAUUGUUAUUGUUAUUAAUAUCAUCAUUAUGACUUAUGGUGUUCAUUAUAGUUGGUAUUUUUGCCAAGAAGUAAACCAAAAUAAUACAUUAGGAUUGACACUGCACCAUGUAUGUGUGUGUCGAGUUUGAGUGAAUUUCGUUAAAAUAAAUGGUGGGAAGAAGGUGUGGAACUAAGAUAGUAUUCUACAGUAAUAGCAACAAAGAUUUAAUUUAAUAACUUGAUAAGCAAAAGAGGUAAUGCCUGAUAAUGCUGAAGAGGUAUUUUAAAAAGUUAUUUGUGAAUAAUUGUAUCCUUCAAGAUGAAUUAUGGGUCUCACCUUUAAUAAAUGUCAUUUUGGUUUAUCACCCAGUCCUUAUGAGAACAAAAAUUCUCAAUUUUUAGAAACAAUCAAAUAUUGCUAUUAAGAAUGUGUAAAUCUUCUGAGAUUUCAUCUUACUGUAGUCAGAAUGAUAAUUAUCAAGAAUAUAAAUAAUAAUAAAUGUUGGCAAGGAGGUAGGGGAAAAGAUAUACAUUGCUGGUGGGACUACAAAUUGGUGCAACUACUCUGGAAAGCAGUAUGGAGAUUUCUCAGAAAACUGGAAAUGGAACCAACAUUUGAUCCAGUUAUCCCUCUCAUCAGUAUAUACCCAAAGAAUCCACAGCAUACUACAGUGAUGCAUCCACAUCAAUGUUUAUAGCAGCUUAAUUCAUAAUAGCUAAGCUGUGGAACCAACCUAUGUGCUUUUCAACAGAUGAAUGGAUAAAGAAAAUGUUGUAUAUAUACACAAUGGAAUACUACUCAGCCAUAAAUAAAAAUGAAAUUGUAGCAUUUGCUGGUAGAUGGAUGGAACUGGAGACCAUCAUGCUAAGUGAAAUAAGCCAAUUCCAAAAAACCAAAGGAUAAAUGUUCUCUCCAGUAUGUGGAUGCUAACACACAAUUAGAGUGGGGGAGAGUACAAAAGAAUAGAAGUACUUUUGAUUAGACAAAGGGGAAUGAAGGGAAGGGAGAAAGGAUGGGAACAAGAAAGACAGUAGAAUGAAUUGGACAUUACUUUCCUAUGUUCAUAUAUGAAUAUAAGAACAAUGUACCUCCACAUUAUGUACGACCACAAGAAUGGGAAGUUAUACUCCAUGUAUAUAUAAUAUGUAAAAAUACACUCUACUGUAAUGUAUAACUAAAAAGAACAAAUAAAAAAAAGAAUGUGUAAUUUCUUCCAUAGAAGUACUUUGGCAUGCCUGUCUAUCUGCAUAAUGUAGAAGAUAUUUUUAUCUUUUUUUUUGUUGUUUUCAGACUAGUAAUAAAAUAUUUGAAACAUUCU